CUACGGGUGGCACCAGUCGCGAAAACUUUACAAUGCACGCAAGUGUGAUAAGGGAAUCCCAAGUGCUUGUCCUCUGGGCAGGCUUUUUUCAAGCGUAAGUAACUUGGAGAAUAAGUGGUGGGCAAGACCGGUGCCAGCCGCCGCGGUAAUCCCGGCGCCACAAGUGGAGAUCACGAUUAUUGGGCCUAAAGCGUCCGUAGCUGAUUUGAUAAGUCUUUUGUGAAAUCGCUGAACUUAAUUCAGCGGCGUGCAAGAGAUACUAUUAAAUUAGAGACCGGGAAGAGACAAGAGAAUUCUUUGGGGAGCGGUAAAAUGUUUUAAUCCAAAGAAGACUACCAAUGGCGAAGGCACUUGUCUAGAACGGGUCUGACAGUGAGGGACGAAGGCUAGGGGAGCGAUCGGGAUUAGAUACCCCUGUAGUC
rnacentral:rRNA from 1 species